AAGCAUCAAUAAUACUCCUUUUUCUCUAUUAUAUGAUGGCAUCAGGCUAAUUCUUUUUUCAAUGAACAACUACAAUGUGCAACACGAAACAUAGACCGGGACCUGAUGAUGGUGCUCCCGAGGCAAUGAGCUAGAACUGGGCUCACGUGCGAGCAUAGUUUGAGAAACUUAGCGAUCCUUCAAGUGCAUUGUGUCAAAAGAUUGUCGUGGUCCUGCUCUUCUACACUGCCCAAAAGAGACAAUAGACGACCAUGUUGUCAAUUCCAAACGGGAGCUCAUGUAGAGGAGCAGCAAAAGCAUGUCACAUAUGCUCUAAUGUGGUUGUACGAACAGCGUCUAUGCCAGCAAUGAUAUCUAUGUCAAGAAGACUGGCAACUCUGGGAACCCAAUCAGAAGGUGGUUUAGAUUCUCUUUAUCCGAUGUACGUUGCGCUGCACACAAGUGCGUCUGCAUUUUUUCUCUUGCACUCCUAGAGGGAUCAAGACACAUAGAAUUAGAAAUGAGAUGAUAGGCCUGAAAAUGUAAGAACUAAAGAAAUAUACCCCCUUUCCUGUAUCUCUUCUCGAGAUAAAACAAUGUUUUUGCAAUAUUAUUUCCUGUAAAAUCUCAUAUUGAAAUAAUCUUGUAGACUUUAGUAUUGCAAGGUGUAAGAUGUUGAUUGUGAGUUGCAAAUCUUACACCAAGAGGUGGUAUCUCUCAGAAAAGUAUCCUUGUUUUUUCUCCUUUUUAUUUUUUGUGUUCUGUCUAUCCAAUGCUUUCACUACCUGAUUUGUUGGAAUUACUACAUUCGUACCAAAAUAGACAAUACUUGGCCCAGCCUUCAUUAUUCAUAUUAAAGGUGGAAAUUUCCAAGUUUGAUACAACACGAAGUUGACGAUGGAGACACAAUGAAGUGGGAUGGCAUUAAAUCAGAGAGAAAGAAGAACAUGAGGCGUGAUAUGGCGAAAGGUCGGGAGAGAGAAACAAGCUUUGAUGUACCGAUUUGGUAGAACAUUGCAUGCACAUUUACUGUCCCCACAGUUUUACGGAGUAUAAAAGUCGAUUGAGUAGCCUAUAUGUUGGUUUUAUGACCUUCAAGGAAGAUGUGGAGGUUGCUAAAUAGGAGGGAGGAAGACACCAUAUUUAUGAAUAAAUUGUCAGAAAAAAAUGAUAUUAAUUUUUCCUGUGGCAACACACGGGCAAUCAACUAGUUGUGGUAGUGUUACCUUCUAUUUUUAUUUUUGUCUUCUACUCGCUGAUUUGAACUUGGUUCACAUUUAAUAAAACGGUUGUGCCAAAAAUGGGUGGUUGCAUAAAUGCCUUGCAAAGGCUCAUUUGAGAACAAACAUAAAUAGUUCCAAUUUAGAAGAAGAAACUAAAGAUGCAAUCGCAACAUCGUUGAUAGUACUAGUAGCAGUGAUCUACCAGAUAUGGUGUUCACCAAUCAAUGAGGCAUGACAUGUCGUGUUCAUAGUGACCUAUUGUAUUGGUAGUGUGGUACAAGAAGAGUAGCAAACAUAUCUGAAGAUGAAUCACCAACAUUUAUACUGCCAAAAAAUGACAACAAUAAAUGUAAUCUCGUGAAUGAACCUAGCACAGAUCAAACAAAUCAUAAUAGAGGUCGUGAGUCCAUUAUAGCCAGUUCAGUUCAAAGGCAGCAGUCCUAUUCAAAAGCUACAACAACAAAAAAGACCUGCAUAUUUCAGGAAAUAUAUCCCUCUCGUGAAUUGAGAAACAGUUACAGGCCACACUAAUACACAACUAGAUAAAUCAUGAUGGUAUGCAUCAACUGACAUUUUACCGAUCUCCAUUAGUGUAAUAUGACAUGAACUUUUCUCACCAGCCUAGUAUUAGUUUUGGUAACUCACCAUGUUGGACGGAGAUGCCAGAGACAUGGGUUCAGUGACAGUUCGCCUGAGUCAUGGUGGUCCUAUAGGCUAUGGUGGACAAGCUUAGUUGGUUAAUUUUUUCUAUCUCUUACUGUCUUACACCAAAAUAAAGCAAAGUAGACAAAGGAAGAACAAAAAUACCAUGUGUUUGAAUAAACGACUUAACAGGAGGGGGCUCGGUGCACAGGAAUGAGAGUGGGCGUUGUCAUCACACCACCACUCCAGACCUCCAUCAUGGUCAACAAUACAACCACCUUAACGCGGCCACACACGUCACUACAACUAUAUCUGUACUAUUAAAGGGGAUCUUGCCGUCUGUCGUGAUGGUUCGACCACAGCAGAUCCCGCGUCGUUACAGCUAUCCCUUCCAUCGAUUUUUAUUCGUCCCUCAAUAAACCACGCGGCCCUUUCACCGAUUUUUUCCCAACCCUCCAUAAACCGGUUCAAUACCCCACUCGUGACUCAUCGAUCGCAUGCAGUAAAAAGAAUCGUUAGAUCCCGCAGCACGAGAGAACGAGUCCACGUUUCCCACCCCUUGUCGCUAAAAAAAACUGCCACGUUUCCCACCCCCACCUCUCCCCACCCCUCGUUCCCGAUCUCGUCGCUCUCCUCCCAAAACUCAUCCCACCAGAGAGAGGAAGGAGCACAGCCGCCAAGGCGCCGAGGAGGAGUCCUCCUGCUCCCCCUACCCCCUCCCCGGCACCCCCUUCUCCUCCUCCCCUCGCCGCAUGGAUCCGCACGGAUCCGUCAGCGGAGGGGUCUCUAGCACGCCGGCGGCUCGACUUCGAGGGGGAUCUGCUUUGAGCGGGGGUCAAUGGCCGGGGAGUCGCGCCGGACGAUGCGUCACGGCGGGCGUUCGCUGCGGCGGGCGUGAGCGAGGCGAGGGACGGCGGCGCCGGUACUAGGGGAGGACGGGGGACGUCGGCACGUCACGACGGUCGUUCAUUGCGGAGGCGCACAUGGAGCGGGGCGCUACGGGAGGGGAUGACGGAGGUGGAGGGGGAUGCAUUGUAGGGGACGGUGCGGGCGGAACACACCUUCCCAGGGCGGGCUCCGGGGGCCACCUGCAUGUCGCUGGUGGCGCAGCGCAUGCCGGCGUCGGGGUGCGCGGCGUGGCCCAUCGUGCGCAACUUCGGCAACCCGCAGCGAUACACGCACUUCGUGCGCACCAGUGCGCUCGUGGCCGGCGACGAGGCCAGCAUCGGCAAGGCCUGGGAAGACACCGUUGUGUCUGGCCUCCCGACCUCCACCAGCUCCGAGCGCCUCGAGAUACUCGACGACGGCCGUCAUAUCCUCAGCUUCAGCAUCGUCGACGGUGAGCACUGCCUCUGCAACUACCGCUCCGUAUCCUCCGUCACCGAGAUCCUGCUGGGCCCCUACCGUGCUGUCGUCGAGUCCUAUGUCGUUCCUGAUGGCUAGCGACACUGGUGCUCAACAGGGGAAAAACUCAAGUGGCGGGUGCUCUCAACAAGAUGGCGUUGCGCUCAUAUUUUUACAUUUCGUCUUUAUACCUCAAAUACAAUUAUGUUCUCAUCCAGAUCAAUGUGGAAACAUAUUCAUCAUCUGGGAACUAGACCAUAAGUACUACUCCAAAACUGGGAGAUUCCUCCGUUUUCAUCUAUUUACUUCAAUUUUCAUCUUAUAUGUUACCAUUUGUGUUUGCAUCCAAGCUCUUUGGUCAAAUUUUCUAUUCAUUACUUAUGUAUCCACAUUCAAUAUCAGAUGUUGCAUUAAAGUAUGACUCUCCGAGAUGCCCCCUCCCAUUGCCUGUAACAAUGAGUUUAUUACUUCUACAAAAAAUGGCCAAGAGAAGUUCAGUUCAACCUAGGCAUACAAUUUCUGAAUAUGGUAAAGCUGGAGAUAGAAAAUAUCACUUCUAAUGCACCCAGUGGCCCUCUGCUAUGUUUCCUAUACAGCUGGUUACAUUCCACCCGAGGUUUAUUCAGCAAACAUGUUUCAUGUCUGGAUUUGUAAUGUGUGAAAUAAUUCUACAUGACAGUUUCAUGGAAGUUGAUUCAUCUGGGAGAGCUGCGGCUGGGAUCAGAGAAUUAUGAGCUGGUGUGUCCAAAGAAGGAUCUGGUGUAAGCUCCAAAGACAACAACAUGCAGGUAUGGUCUGACUAACACUUCUAGCUAUCAUAAAUGCCCAUGUGUCCUCUUAUAUAAGAGUUGGCUAAAAACUAACAAAUGUAUGAUUUGUGUGUUGGUGCUUAUCAGCUUAUACCAUUGCAUAGUUUGCAUCGUCAACGAUAUAGCCUACCUAGCAUAUGAGUUUCUCUGCUUGUUCAUGCAUUUUGCUGAAAUGCAGUAUUUGAUCCUAUGGAUAUAUGAGAAAACUGGUUCAUGUAUCUGGAGUUCUCAAAAUCCAUCAAAUCUUGGUAGCUGGACUGGCUUCACAUAGAGCAUACGAAAAUCACGUUCACUUCAAACUUUAGCAUAUUUACUCAAAAUGUAGGAUCAAAUUUAGGUUAGGACUUAGGGGGACAAGAAUAAUUAUCAUAUAUCCCGUACUAGCACCUCGAAGAAACUUUUUUUACUGGACCUUGCUGUUAAUAGGUUCAUCAUUUUUUUCACUAGCAGCCCGUUAUUUUUGUCCCGUUGCAACCCACGAGCAUUUGUGCUAUAUCUCUACUAUUAAAGGGGGAUGUGUCGUCGUGAUGGUUUGACCUCCUCCCGUUCCCAUGUAUGAUCCCUCUCCCACUCCCACCUCCUGCUUCUCCCCUCGAUGUCACGCAGAAAAAAUUGCUCCAUCUGUCUAUUUCGCAUGACAAACCCCCGAUCCCACCCAUCGCGGUUAAACAAAGAAUAACGAACCGCCACCACACAAACACGUCCCGCUCCACAAGUCCACCUCUCCCUAACCCCACGCUCCCGAUCUCAUCUCUCUCCUACUGAAAAGCAUUGAUGCCAGUGCUCGCCAUACCACGCCAACACCCAUCUCCAUGCUAUCUUGCACUCCAACGCAACCCCCGCUCCCUCUGUAUUGAGGACAAUGGGGGAUCCAUGGCUCGUGGAAAGAUCUGGAGCGCCGCAUGCCGUGUACCUCUUGUUCGUCCACCUGCAGCAAUCGCCCAAUCAUCUGUGUCACUGUGUGUUCUCUCAGGUGAGCUUCUCUCUCUCUCUCGAGUUGGUACCUCUUGUUCCCCUUCAUUCACCCGUUUUGUGAGCCUGCAGUUUGAUGUGGACGACACGCCGCGGACCACCACCGCCUUGUGAUUGAGCGCAUCAGUGCACGACUGGCCCAUGAAGGGUUGGUGGCAGUACUCUAAUAGAUGUAGAGUGUGGCUAUGAACUCCUCUCACAGCUUGGCAACGACACCGGACAAAGCGUGCAUCAGGUACGUCCUAUCUUGUCGCGGUUGUUGGUAAUACAACAUUUGCUCUUGGAUACAUUUCUCAACACUUGCCGUGUCGUCCCUAACGCGGGCACUGUCCAAGCUACUCCUCUCAUGCCCCAUAUCAUCCACGACGAUGGUGUUCGUCCACCUGCAGCAGUCGCCCAAUCAUCUGCGUCACUGUGUGUUCUCUCAAGUGAGCUUCUCUCUCUCUCGAGUUGGUACCUCUUCGUUCCCCUUCAUUCACCCGUUUUGUGAGCCUGCAGUUUGAUGUGUGCACUUGUGUAUUUUUUCUUUGCAUGAAGUUAGCACAUGGGAUGGAUCUGGCGUGAUGGAUUUAGCUCAGCCGAAGAUGAUUCUAGGUAAUCUAUUUGUAUAUGGCAAGGUAAAAUGUUCUUAUCCAUUACUGUUCCAAUGGCAGGGAAGGAUGACCUUAGUCUAAUUAUGGCAAAUAGGUGGACUAUUGAGUUGCUGAUGUCUGAGUGUGAGUAAUUUUUUGCCUAUGUGUUUGAUUUGCAAACUCGUUCGAUACAUUUAUCUCUCCACUGUUAUUCUGAAUAAUUGCAUGUUGUUAUAAAUUUCAAGUUUGCUUCUUCACUAUAAAUCUUCCAAUUUCUUUUUACAAGAAUCUUGCAUACACAGAAAAGUGAGGCUUUGACAAGGGAUUACGUGUGGACCAUCUCGAACUCAAUGAAUAUGUAUGCUCCUUCUGUUAUAUUCUUGAUUGUUUUUCUUGUUAGUUAGCAUAAAAGAUUUCUAUCGUCUUGUUGAAUUUGUUAAUAAUUAGAAAAUGAUUACAUUUUUCUGAUUAAAUUUUAGUGAUGCUUAGUUUGCCAUGCUGUGGAAGGUGGAGGCAGUCUCGAUGUGGAUGGGUGAAAGGUAAAGGUUGAGGGAACGAGGGCGUCGAAGGAUCCACCAAAGUUGCCAUUGUAGUUGACCACGCCACCGGCGGUGUGUCAGACCUUUGUUGCCUCUGCAGGGAAGGGCAGAAGGCCUGCACCGCCAUGGAUCCUGUCCCAUCAUCUUGAGCACUUGUCGGUAUUGCCAUAUUGCAGAUUAUCUCUGAGGGAAGUUACAUUAUUUUCCCGUUAAUUCAGAUAUAUUAAUAUGUCCAGAUGUAAUUCCAAAUAUCUUAUGUUAGGCAAAGCUUCUAAAAUCAGUGAAGCUCUAGAGCUACUAAGGACUGGUUAAAUCAGUAAAGUUUUACAAUAUCUGCAUGAGUGGUUAUAACAUAGCACAUGUUAUUUGGUACUUCACUAUGUGGUAUCCUUUUUUUUAAUCUUGAUUAUUGAGUCAACAUAUUGAUUGUGGGCUUAUAUACUGCCAAACUGGCCUUCUUAUUCUGUCAUCCAAUUCAUGCAAAAUUCACGCUCACCAUGACAAAGGCCUAAUUUGUUAGCUGAUGUAGUUUUCUAAUUGUGUGCUCUUCAUUUGUAGUUGCCAAGUCUUAAAAUAUUUGUAGUGACGUAACUUUUUUUCUUCAUAUCAGCAGGAUUUUAGAUAGCAUUUUUUAAUGCUAACUGAAGUAAUAAACAAAUUAGCUUAGAAGUCAGUGUAAAGUGCUUAAGAGGAUUUUUUUUUCUCUGCACUAACAAAAUUUGAUGGCAAUUCUUGUGAACUGAUCAAAGGUCAGGUUUCAAAAGGUAUGCAUUUUUUUCAUCAUUCUCAGUAUCAUAAAUCAAUUUUGCACAUACAUAUGAUGAAUAUGAUUGCUCAUUUUCCUUUCAUGGUAAAGAAAUCUAUGUGGCGUUACAUGUCAGAUGAUACAUAUAGGAAUUCAUCCUACAACUGAACCUUUUAUUAUAUGACACAUUAGGAAAAUAUGCUUUCUACUUUUUUAUAUUUGCUUCCAAGAGGUUUAGUCAAUUGUUAAUCCGUUCCCUGCAUUAAUUUGUAAGGCUCUAAAGCCACGUUUUUCAAGCUGAAACAAUAAAGGCUAACAUGUCAGAUGAUACAUAUAGGAAUUCAUCCUACAACUGAAAUUUACUGGAUUAUUAUCUCGAUCUUCAGUUCUUCUGAUAUAUUUUUCACGAUCCAAGUGUUAGGAACAAAGAGUCUAAGAAGAAGCAUCAUAUUCCAAUGUUGAUAUUUUAUUCAAGCAUCAAUAAUACUCCUUCUUCUCUAUUAUAUGAUGGCAUCAGGCUAAUUCUUUUUUCAAUGAACAACUACAAUGUGCAACACGAAACAUAGACCGGGACCUGAUGAUGGUGCUCCGGAGGCAAUGAGCUAGCACUGGGUUCACGUGCGAUCAUAGUUUGAGAAACUUAGCGAUCCUUCAAGUGCAUUGUGUCAAAAGAUUGUCGUGGUCCUGCUCUUCUACACUGCCCACAAGAGACAAUAGAUGACC
rnacentral:lncRNA from 1 species